CAGACCUGGGAGCUUCCCUGCACAUUCCUGAGGGGGAAGCUGUGGUUUGGAGGAAGUGGAACCUUGGCGAGUUACUGAGCAGGAUAGGAGCGAUGCUGCUCACAGACGCCCUCUGCUGUCCACGUGCAGGUCUGACUGCUGCUCCACCCGAGGGUCUUCAGGCAGGGCCAUAGGUGCUGAAAUCCACUCAUUGUCCCAGUCCUACUAUCAGCAGAAACUGCCUGGUGAAUUCCAAGGACCCCAGAUACUGAGGCUCUCUCGAGCAGGGAGGUCCAAGACAUCUAUAAUUGUCCCCAGAGGCUAUUCGAGUGAGACUCCAGAGGAAUCACACCGAAUUGAGAGGGAGAGGCGGGCCUAGGGGAUCCGCAUAGAACUGACUUGGGGGUUUAUUGGCUUUGUGAGUGCCUUGCGUGUGUAUGUGUGUGCACACGCCCCAUGUGCGUGCCUGGUGUCAGGGAGGUCAGAAGAAGGAAUUGGCUCUCCUGGAAUUGGAGUUAUUGCUGGUAUAAGCCAUGUGGGUGCUGGGAACCAGACCUGGGUCCUCUGCAAACGCCGCAAGUGUUCUCGCUGCUGAGCCACGUAUCUAGCCCUCUCUCCACAGAGCUGCUGAGCACUCAGAAAGUUCACAUUUCAGUGUUG
rnacentral:lncRNA from 1 species